AUGAUUCCUCUUUUUCCUUCCGUACAUCGUCUUCUCGUUUUUCCCUCCUCCCCCACAGUGAGUCCCUGCUCUGCAGAGGUGUCUCCUCCGGAGGCAGUCUUGCGUCCUGCAGUGCUAGUUCCGCAGAGGAGGGCAACAGGAGAAACAACUAUGAUGGCUGCUUUGGUGCAGGGAUGGUUCUGUGCUGAGAUGGCAUUUGUUUCUGGCAGGAGCGGGGAGAACAUAACGCAGCUGGGUUAUUUACUUGAGCCACAACAGAAUAUUUUACUUCAUCUGCAUUAUUCAAUAAUGAAGCCAAGAGCUCGUCUCAGGGAUUGGCAUCACCAAACGUCUGUUGAAGUCCAAACUUGA
rnacentral:lncRNA from 1 species